CGGCAAGGGGAAGUGACGUCUGCCUCUCCCUUUUUUCUCUUCUGCUUCCCUCAUCUGUUCUCUUCCAAAGAAGCUGGUCCUUAGCCUGUAUUGCGGAGCAAGCUUUCGGCGACCAGCUGGACCCUGGGCACCCUUCUUCGAACAAUGGCUUUUAAUUCUCAGACUAGAACGUUUAGGAUUACAAAAGAAACUGGUUCUUUUCACCUCCUUAUUCUUGUGAUGUAGCAUUCCGCAUAUAUAUAUAUAUAUAUCCAACUAUCCUAAAAGACACUGCCCUUCAUCAUUCCAUGCCGUUAGACAUUUAUAGGACCAUGCAUGGUGAUCUCCUCCAGACAAAAGUAAAUGCUGGUGCAGAACAGGAUUUGAGUUUGAUGUCAUGCAUAUAAUGUGAUCCCACUGUAUGACUACACAAAUGUUGGCAAAAGUAAGUUCAGAGGAAAUGGUAGGCAAGUACUUCCCAGUUUUGACCAGAAGAUGGAGAAAAAAAGAAUUCUCAAAAAAUGUUAAAGGAAUUUCCAGUAUUCCAAAUAUGAGAAGCUGAGUAAACAAACAACAAACUCAAAACCCUAAAAACCAGGAUACGUAAGGGUAGAUGUUUGUUGGGUGUGGAUUAAAAAUGGACUUUUUUUGCCCCAAGCAACAAAGAGGCACCUUAGAAAAUAGACAAGAGACAAGAGGAAGAGAAGCUUUAAGAGAUAUUUGGUCCAAGGAGGAGACUCUUCAGAUGGAAGGUCACAUCAGCUAGAAACAUUAAUAUGACUGGAUGGGCUCAAACCACUGACUUUUCAGUCAACAUCCAACAGCACUAACCCAGUGUUCCAGAGACACUGCUUGUUAAACAGUGAAAGCUGUUGCUCAAUUGUGUCAUCCA
rnacentral:lncRNA from 1 species